AAGUCGAUGCAUACUCUCCACUU
rnacentral:siRNA from 1 species